UACGUAGGGUGCAAGCGUUGUCCGGAAUUAUUGGGCGUAAAGAGCUCGUAGGCGGUUUGUCGCGUCUGCUGUGAAAACUCGGGGCUUAACUCCGGGCCUGCAGUGGGUACGGGCAGACUAGAGUGCGGUAGGGGAGACUGGAAUUCCUGGUGUAGCGGUGAAAUGCGCAGAUAUCAGGAGGAACACCGGUGGCGAAGGCGGCACUCUGGGCCGGUACUGACGCUGAGGAGCGAAAGCGUGGGGAGCGAACAGG
rnacentral:rRNA from 1 species